rnacentral:rRNA from 1 species
ACGUAGGGUGCAAGCGUUAAUCGGAAUUACUGGGCGUAAAGCGUGCGCAGGCGGUUUGGUAAGUCAGAUGUGAAAUCCCCGGGCUCAACCUGGGAAUGGCAUUUGAGACUGUCAGGCUAGAGUGUGUCAGAGGGGGGUGGAAUUCCACGUGUAGCAGUGAAAUGCGUAGAGAUGUGGAGGAACACCGAUGGCGAAGGCAGCCCCCUGGGAUAACACUGACGCUCAUGCACGAAAGCGUGGGGAGCAAACAGGAUUAGAUACCCUGGUAGUCCACGCCCUAAACGAUGUCAACUAGUUGUCGGGACUUCAUUGUCUUGGUAACGCAGCUAACGCGUGAAGUUGACCGCCUGGGGAGUACGGUCGCAAGAUUA